AUAUCAUUCCACCCUGAACGCGCCCAAUUUCAUCUGAUCUCAGAAGUUAAGCAGGGUCGGGCCUGGUUAGUACUUGGAUCGGAGACUGUCUGGGAAUUUCAAACAGUAUAUC
rnacentral:rRNA from 1 species